rnacentral:rRNA from 1 species
GAUGAACGCUGACAGCAUGCUUAACACAUGCAAGUCAACUUGAACUUCGGUUUGGGUGGCGGACGGGUGAGUAACGCGUAAAGAACUUGCCUCACAGCUAGGGACAACUUUUGGAAACGAAUGCUAAUACCUGAUAUUAUGAUUAUAUGGCAUAGUAUAUUUAUGAAAGCUAUAUGCGCUGUGAGAGAGCUUUGCGUCCCAUUAGCUAGUUGGAGAGGUAACAGCUCACCAAGGCGAUGAUGGGUAGCCGGCCGGAGAGGGUGAUCGGCCACAAGGGGACUGGGACACGGCCCUUACUCCAACGGAGGGCAGCGGUGGGGAAUAUUGGACAAGGGACCGAGAGUCUGAUCCAGCAAUUCUGUGUGCACGAUGAAGUUUUUCGGAAUGUAAAGUGCUUUCAGUUGGGAAGAAAAAAAUGACGGUACCAACAGAAGAAGUGACGGCUAAAUACGUG